GAUCAUGGCUCAGGAUGAACGCUAGCGGCGGGCCUAAUACAUGCAAGUUGAACGGGAUUGUUGGUAGCAAUAUUGACAUGAGAGUGGCGCACGGGUGCGUAACACGUAUGUAACCUACCUUUAACUGGGGCAUAGCUUCGAGAAAUCGAAAUUAAUACCCCAUAACAUUUAGAAAAGGCAUCUUUCUUUAUCAAAGCUCAGGCGGUUAAGGAUGGACAUGCGGUGCAUUAGCUUGUUGGUGAGGUAACGGCUCACCAAGGCUACGAUGCAUAGGGGGUCUGAGAGGAUGAUCCCCCACACUGGUACUGAGACACGGACCAGACUCCUACGGGAGGCAGCAGUAGGGAAUAUUGGGCAAUGGACGAAAGUCUGACCCAGCCACGCCGCGUGAAGGAUGAAUGCCCUCUGGGUUAUAAACUUCUUUUGUAUGGGAAGAAAAUUCCGAACGUGUUCGGAGCUGACGGUACCAUAAGAAUAAGCAUCGGCUAACUCCGUG
rnacentral:rRNA from 1 species